GUUAGGUUAGGUUAGUUUGGGGUUAGGUUACGUUAGUUUGGGGUUAAGUUACGUUAGUUUGGGGUUAGGUUAGGCUUACGUUACUUUAGGCUGAGCUUAUUUUUAGUUUAGGUAAUAUGGAACGUGUCUAACUUACAGAAAAGCCAAAACAAUAAGUGGUAUAGCGGCGAUCAUAAGGUGAGGCGGAGCAGAAGGCAACGACACAAGCGUUCGGAGGGAAGGAAGGGAAGGGAAACAGAUACUUGGCAACAGUUACAAACCAUCCAUUCACACGAGUCACUGCCCUGCCCGGCCUUCCUCCUCUCACCGGCAUCGCCUUAACUAUCCUUGACGUGUGUUUUUCCUCCAUAUCACAGCGUUCCUUGACCUUUUCUGACCUGACCACACAUCUUCUUACGACCAGGCAACUCAGCACCCCUUGAGUCAGGUUUUGGUUGCCCGGUUCAUCAGUUAGAGCAUGUAACACCGAUUCUUCCCUCUAUCACUUAACUCCUCACCGAUACCAAAAAAAUGAAGUCACGGUGAGGGGAGGAAUAUCGGGAGAACGUGGGAGGAAUAUCGGGAGAACGUGGGAGGAAUAUCGGGAGAACGUGAGAGGAAUAUCGGGAGAACGUGGGAGAAAUAUCGGGAGAACGUAAGGGCUAGGUUGGCUGGUUGAUCGUGCCUUGGUGUG